CAGUCGCCGCGGGAAUACAGAGGGUGCGAGCGUUAAUCGGAUUUACUGGGCGUAAAGCGUGCGUAGGCGGCUUUUUAAGUCGGAUGUGAAAUCCCUGAGCUUAACUUAGGAAUUGCAUUCGAUACUGGGAAGCUAGAGUAUGGGAGAGGAUGGUAGAAUUCCAGGUGUAGCGGUGAAAUGCGUAGAGAUCUGGAGGAAUACCGAUGGCGAAGGCAGCCAUCUGGCCUAAUACUGACGCUGAGGUACGAAAGCAUGGGGAGCAAACAGGAUUAGAUACCCCUGUAGUCCCUGUCUCUUAUAC
rnacentral:rRNA from 1 species